AUACGAAGGGGGCUAGCGUUGUUCGGAAUUACUGGGCGUAAAGCGCAUGUAGGCGGACAUUUAAGUCAGGGGUGAAAUCCCGGGGCUCAACCUCGGAACUGCCUUUGAUACUGGGUGUCUAGAGUGUGGAAGAGGUAAGUGGAAAAAUUCCGAGUGUAGAGGUGAAAUUCGUAGAUAUUCGGAGGAACACCAGUGGCGAAGGCGGCUUACUGGUCCAUUACUGACGCUGAGGUGCGAAAGCGUGGGGAGC
rnacentral:rRNA from 1 species